rnacentral:misc_RNA from 1 species
GAUGAAGAACGCAGUGAAAUGCGAUAAGUAAUGUGAAUUGCAGAAUUCAGUGAAUCAUCGAAUCUUUGAACGCACAUUGCGCCCGCCAGUAUUCUGGCGAGCAUGCCUGUUCGAGCGUCAUUUCAACCAUCAAGCCCCAGGCUUGUGUUGGAGCCCUGCGGCUGCCGCAGCCUCCCAAAACCAGUGGCGGGCUCGCUAUCACACCGAGUGCAGUAGUUUACUCUUCGCUCAGGGCGUGUGGCGGGUGCUAGCCGUGAAACCCCCACCUUCUCAAGGUUGACCUCGGAUCAGGUAGGAAUACCCGCUGAACUUAAGCAUAUCAAUAAGCGGAGGA